GGACUAAAGCUUUAGCGCUUGGGGGCGGGCUUGCGUCCGAUUAGCUAGUUGGUGGGGUAAAGGCCUACCAAGGCGAAGAUCGGUAGCUGGUCUGAGAGGAUGAUCAGCCACACUGGGACUGAGAUACGGCCCAGACUCCUACGGGAGGCAGCAGCAGGGGAUAUUGCGCAAUGGGCGAAAGCCUGACGCAGCAACGCCGCGUGGGGGAGGAAGGCCUUCGGGUUGUAAACCCCUUUUCUCGGUGAAGAGGAAGGACGGUAGCCGAGGAAUAAGUCUCGGCCAACUACGUGCCAGCAGCCGCGGCAAGACGUAGGAGGCGAGCGUUAUCCGGAAUUAUUGGGCGUAAAGGGCGUGUAGGCUGCUCUUUAAGUCUGUUGUGAAAUCUCCCUGCUCAACGGGGAGGGGGCAGCAGAAACUGGAGGGCUUGAGGGCAGCAGAGGGGGGUGGAAUUCCCGGUGUAGUGGUGGAAUGCGUAGAUAUCGGGAGGAACACCAGUGGCGAAGGCGGCCCCCUGGGCUGCACCUGACGCUGAGGCGCGAAAGCGUGGGGAGCAAACAGGAUUAGAUACCCUGGUAGUCCACGCCGC
rnacentral:rRNA from 1 species